CUCAGCUUGGAUAUGUCCUCGGGUAAAUCCUCUCAAACCCUGGUUAUCAAGACCUUUUGUAUAGAAAGAAUUUUGUAUAAGAGAUGGGUUACUAUAUAAACAAAUCUAACCUGCACCCCCUUAUUUCAAAAUCCCUAGAUCAAAUAUGCGCACACCAAACCCCCAUUUCCCUCUGCUCUCUCUCGAUCUCACACCGGUGAUCGGCGGGUUUCUGUGGUACCGGCGCCGCUAUGGUGGUGUCGGCCACCAUCUCCAGUGACAACCACACUCACAGCCCCCCCCCCCUCCGAUGAUCUCCAGCGACGGCAGGCAGAGCCGCCGCCCCUCACGCCGGCGGCGGUGAGUGUCUCGACGACGACGGCGGUGUGCAGCUUUUCCGAUGGUCGACGGGCGAAGGGUCUAGCAGCCGCUGGUUUCUUUUGUCAAACACACUCUACAAACCCUAAUUCAGUUCCUCUCAACCUAAUACCCAGCUUCAACAGAAAACCUAGAAGACGAAAGAGAAGGAAACUAAUUUGAUACUAACCUGAUAGCAGCAAUGGUUGCAAGAGGCGAGAGCAAGCAAGAGAGCAGAAUGGUGAACGAUCUAGAACAAAUCCCCUGUUGUAAAGAGUAGGGCUUCUUUGUUGAGGGGUAUGAUGUGGGGUCCUGGUGUAAAUGGAGCGGAAAUGAGUAAUAAAUAAAUAACCAGGUAGUUAAGCAGAGUGCGGUGCUAGAGACCGAAAGAAAUUCGCUCCUAUUUUCUAAUGUUAUCAAGAAUUGGAUGGCACAUGGGUGAAAGUCUUGUAUGUAGACAUUGA
rnacentral:lncRNA from 1 species